UACAGAGGGGGCAAGCGUUGUUCGGAAUUACUGGGCGUAAAGGGCGCGUAGGCGGCUCGGCAAGUCGGGUGUGAAACCUCCAGGCUCAACCUGGAGACGCCACUCGAUACUGCUGUGGCUAGAGUCCAGUAGGGGAGCGUGGAAUUCCUGGUGUAGCGGUGAAAUGCGCAGAUAUCAGGAGGAACACCAGCGGCGAAGGCGGCGCUCUGGGCUGGAACUGACGCUGAGGAGCGAAAGCGUGGGGAGCAAACAGG
rnacentral:rRNA from 1 species